rnacentral:lncRNA from 1 species
AGACGCAAAAGCGUCGUCUGUGGCGGCAGCUAGACAUCGGGCGACCCUCGUCCCGCCAGGUUUUGGGGUCGCGCAAACGAGCGACGGGGGCUGGGGCUCCGGAUUCAGGUGUUCUUUCUUCAGCGCUCACGGGUUUCUGUCCGUACGCGAUGCGAGCGAACGUCGCGGUCGAGGCUAGGGCCCCGAAGCCCGCAGUAAUCCACGUCUCCCGCCCGCUCCGGGCCCCCAGUGCCGCCGUCGCGGGCGGAGGCGCGAGGUCUGGGCUUUGGCGCCUUCGCAGCCGCAGGCGACAUCCUCUUUCCUAGCUAAAGCCCCAAACGCCCAGGUGGCUUCCUGGGAGAGCACGGCUGAGCCUCCGCCUUCAGAUCAGAACAGGCAGAGCCUCCAAGGGCGGCUUGGGCCCAGUGCCUGCUUAUCCUGCCCGUCUCUCCACACUUCUUCUUUCCCUGUCCGUUGGAGUCCAUUCCUUCCUGGAAAAGCCAAAGCCGCGCUCCCCUAAGAGGCCUGGAUGUGAAGGUGAGUGAGACGCCCUGGCCUCUGGGUGCAAAGGCCGGCGCCUGCCGCUUUCAACACUCAGGAGGCGCGUUUCAGCCCCGCUGGCCCCCGGCCGCAGACUCGGAGCGCUGAGCUCCCACCGUUCCCAUCACCCGACUCCCUUCCCAGGAAUGAGGAGCACCCGGGAAGCUUCAGCCACUACACGAAGGAGGCGCCAAGCCCAAACUCCUCCCCAGCUACCGGCGGGGUCAGUGCAGAGCCGCGGAGGGCACACAUGAACCCUGGCACGCAGCCUCAGGGAGGGGCAGGCUGGAAAUGACCCUGCCUGCAGCUGGGCCAUCAGCCUGACCACCUGCCCCCUGAGCAAACGUUGAUGCAGGUCGGGCGCGGUGGCUCAUGCCUGUAAUCCCAGCACUUUAGGAGCCCGAGGCAGGUGGAUCACCUGAGGUUAGGCGUUCACGACCAGCCUGGCCAACAUGGUGAAACACCGUCGCUACUAAAAAUACAAAAACUAGCCAGGCAUGGUAAUGGGGUGCACCUGUAGUCCAGCUACUCGGGAGGCUGAGGCCCGAGAAUCGCUUGAACCCAGGAGGCGGAGCUUGCAGUGAGCGGAGAUCACCACUCCAGCCUGGGUGACAGAGUGAGACUCCAUCUCAAAAAAAUUAAUUAAAGAAAAAACGCUGAUGCUUUCUGAAAUACAUUUUAUUAUCGCUGUACCAUUCUGGGGCACUGGAGAUGGCAGCUGAGAAGCAGAGAAGCUGGAGACCUGAAGCCUCCACCCUUGGCUGUGGCUGCCGAGAGAGGCCCCUGCAGAGGGAGCCCCAGGCCACACCCAGACACCACAGCCAGCUCACAGUGCGGCCAGAGGGCACAGGCUGCUUGGGGGGUGAGGGUCCCCAUUCCUGCCACCUCUCACAGACCAUGACCCACAGGGCUGGGGGCUUCCCCUGGGAGAAAGUCCUUCCCUCCCCAUGGCCCAGCCCUGGGGAAAGAAAGCAGAGACUAACUCAGGGACUGCAGUAGGCUGAGGACAAGGGAGGUGGGCUUGGGGUGAAGGCCCCCCCUCACUCGCAGAGAAGGGACACUACCGGCAGUAGAGGACAGGGAGGCAGGACGACGGCAGUUAGAGACGAGGCGUUUCAGGUGAACUGUAUGUAGUGUUACUCCGGACGUGAGCAUGGCCUGGGUCAGUCGAAUGAAAUGAGCUGGGCCUCGCUGCCCUGUGCCGGCGGCCCCUGUGCCUGCGGUUGCUGGGCCACGGGGGGCUGCUGCUGGGGGGGACCGCCAGAGGGUGCCAUCUGUGCAGGAGGAAAGCAGGCAUGGCCCUGGUCCUCCCUUCCCCAGCCCAGGGAGGAAGGCUUUUGUCCCAGCAGAGCCACAGACCCACAAGUGCUUGUAAUCCAUGUCCACGGACUGCAGCUCAUGCAGCCAGCUCAUGCGGCCUUUGCCUUUCAAGUAAAUUCACGGUUUUUCCUGUCUACA